rnacentral:lncRNA from 1 species
UACCACUGGCAUCCUGGGGUGUUACAGUUGGUAUUUUACUAUUUUAUUGUGCAAUUGCAUUAAUUUAACCUAAUGCUAUUUUUGUCCAGAUGUACUAUACUAUGAUCUGUGUAAAAUGUGUCCUUUUCGUAUAUAUUUGUAGGAGAUGGCUGAGAAUGCGUCCACAACUUUCAAUGUUCAUGUUCCUGAAUUUGUUGAUGCUAUAUGGGUAGCACUGAGAGACCCCAAACAGGCUGUGCGCGAACGAGCAGUGGAAGCCUUGCGUGCUUGUCUUCAUGUUAUAGAAAAGCGGGAGACACGGUGGCGUGUACAGUGGUAAGCACAUAUUUAUCCUCACCAUUAUCGCUGUAUUGUAUGAGACAACAACAACAACAACAACAACCAAGCCUUUCAGUCCCAAACAAGUUGGGGUAGGCUAGAGUUGAAACCCAUAAGAUCUCGAAGCCAAGUCAUGGCUCUGGAACGUGGAUAGCUAACUUCCACGCACCCCUGUCCAUGGCUAAGUCUUUGUCGAUAUUCCAAACCUUUAGGUCUCUCUUAACGGACUCCUCCCAUGUCAAGUUUGGUCUACCACGACCCCUCUUAACAUUCUCAGCACGCUUUAUCCGUCCGCUAUGCACCGGCGCUUCCGGUGGCCUCCGUUGAAUAUGUCCAAACCAUCUGAGACGAUGCUGGACCAGCUUCUCUUCAAUCGGUGCUACCCCAAGUCUCUCUCGUAUAUCGUCAUUCCGUACCCGAUCCUUCCUUGUGUGGCCACAUAUCCAUCUCAACAUGCGCAUCUCUGCUACACCUAACUGUUGGAUAUGUCGUCUCUUGGUUGGCCAACACUCCGCGCCAUACAACAUCGCAGGUCGGAUAGCUGUCCUAUAAAACCUGCCUUUUAGCUUUUGUGGCACUCUCUUGUCACAGAGUACGCCAGAAGCUUGGCGCCACUUCAUCCACCCAGCCUUGAUUCGGUGGCCCACGUCUUCAUCGAUAUCGCCAUCCUUCUGCAACAUGGACCCCAAAUAUCGAAACGUGUCUCUCUCCGGUACCACCUGCCCACCAAGGCUAACCUCUCCAUCCUCGUGCCUAGUAGCACUAAAACUGCACGUCAUGUAUUCAGUUUUAGUUCUACUAAGCCUAAAACCUUUCGAUUCUAGAGUCCGCCUCCAUAACUCUAACUUUCUAUUAACCCCCGUUCGGCUAUCAUCGACUAGCACCACAUCAUCCGCAAAGAGCAUACACCAUGGGAUAUCUCCUUGUAUAUCCCUUGUGACCUCAUCCAUCACCAAAUCAAAAAGAUAAGGGCUCAAAGCUGACCCUUGGUGUAGCCCUAUUCUAAUCGGAAAGUCAUCGGUGUCGCCAUCACUUGUUCGAACACUUGUCACAACAUUAUCAUACAUAUCCUUGAUGAGGGUAAUGUACUUUAUUGGGACUUUGUGUUUCUCCAAGGCCCACCACAUGACAUUCCGAGGUAUCUUAUCAUAGGCCUUCUCCAAAAUCAAUGAACACCAUAUGAAGGUCCUUCUUGUGGUGGUUAAGAGGAUUGUUAUGGUGCUUAGUCUAUUAACUCUUAUUUUUACCAAAUACUGUGACCCCAUGUUUACUUGGAGUGAUCACUCAUCCAUUCCACUAAGUUUGGGAAUAACUUUUUGGCCAAAAUUGCAAAUUGAAAGUGAUAUCAAGACUUUGGUAACUUCUUACAUUCAACCCCAUCCAUGCUCCCCACUAACUACUCUUAUGACUAGCUAACACUUGUUAAGCAUCUUGUUGAUGGUUGAUGUAUCCCAUCUUCUAAGGAUUAAACAUAUGUUGCAUUGCAUGGGGUUCAAUCUACCAUUGGGUCUAAAGAGAUUAUAUAUUGCAUUUGGUUGUAAAAUUACACAUUGUGUCCCUCAGAAACCUAUUUAUGCCAGUUUGUUAGGAACAAUUUCCAAAGCACAUCGUGGUCGUUUAUUUGUCGCAAAUCACUGACCAUGUACUUCUGGGAUACCAUUUUGCAAUGUGAUUCAUCUACAUGUUGGUCAUUGGUCUCUUCAGCCAACAAUUCAACUUCUCUGAUUAGUGAUGAGCCGAGCCUUUCUCUUAGUAUUGCAGCAAUGCCAAGUACACCCAACUCUGAUUUGCAGUUUGUGUACCACACUACCACUGAUUUCGGUGUGUGUACCACUGUAUCUCUGCUCUGUGUAGUUUUUAUAGAAAUUAGUAGCUGGCAUGCUGCUACCUUGGUGACCUGACUAGACUAUAUGAGCUAAGAAUAUUGCCAUUUUGUCUAUCUUAUUUUUUUCAUGAUGUUAUGUUACCAGGUAUUACCGCAUGUGUGAAGCAGCACAAGUGGGACUUGGAAAAAAUGCUUCUGUUCAUAGCAUCCAUGGCUCAUUAUUGGCUGUUGGAGAAUUGUUGAGGUAACUUAAAGUUGAUUUUGCAGUGAUUUUCCCCGGAAGUUUGUCACAAUAUUCAUACUGCCGCAAGUUUUUUUUUCUUAUGUCUGUUUGCUAGUGUACCAUAUUUUCCUGUAUUUCUUUUACUAUGGAACACAUGUCUAACUUCUGGCAUUUAUGAUCAUCAAUAUAGCAAAACAGCAUCAACCCAUUUUUUUUCUUGUGGCAACAAUACACAGCUUUGCGUACUCUGAUUCUGUUGCAUGAAAAUGUUGCAGGAACACUGGGGAAUUUAUGAUGUCUAGGUACAGAGAAGUGGCUGAUAUAGUCCUCACGUACUUAAAACACCGGGAUCAGCUUGUUCGUCGUAGUAUAACAUCUCUUCUUCCUCGAAUUGCUCACUUCCUGCGAGACAGAUUUGUGACCAACUACCUUAAGGUUUUCCCUGCUGCUAAAUUUCUUGAACGAAACCAUUUUUCUUCUCUUAACCAUUUUUCUUCUCUUUUGCACCUUAUAUGAUUCAUUUUUUGUAUCAUUUUUUUUUAAUUUUGAAGUUGUAACAGAAACAUAAUAGUUUGAAAACCAUGCCAUAGCUUGACACAUAUUGUUCUCAUUCCCAGAUAUGCAUGGAACAUAUCCUGUUUGUUCUACGUACCCCGGAUGAGCGUGCUAGUGGGUUUGUUGCUCUGGGAGAGAUGGCUGGUGCUUUGGGUGCAGAACUUGUGCCCAGUUUGCCCUCAAUUACCCCACUUUUGCAUGAAGCAGUAUGCUUCAGAACCCUUUUGUACUCUGGUGUUUAUUUGAACUUUGCCUUGCUUAAUGGUGUGUUUCUAUUUGCAGAUUGCUCCUCGCAGAGGACGGCCAUCUCUUGAGGCUAUUACUUGUGUUGGAAGCUUCGCAAAAGCCAUGGGUCUUGCAAUGGAGCGCCAUAUUCGUGGUGGGCUGCUGGAUGCCAUGUUUUCUGCUGGUCUUUCUGAUAAACUUGUAGAUGCACUUGAGUCUAUAAGUACUAGGUAUUGUUUCUUGGUUUGAAUUCUCUUGCUUUAUUCUGUCUUUGGCAUGAAAACAUCACCUUCCCAUUUUCCUACAGCAUCCCGUCUCUACUGCCAACAAUACAAGAGCGUUUGUUGGAUUGUAUAGCUCAAGCACUUCCAAAGUCAUCUACGAGGUCCGGUUCUACUGUUAUUCGAGCAACCAGAUCCAACAGUUUGCAGCAGUUUGUGGAUUCUAGUGGUCCAGUGCUUGUCCAACUUGCUCUGCGUACCCUAGCAAACUUUAACUUUAAGGUUUGAAAUGCUCCACUGAGCUGUGUGAUUGUCAUCAUCUUCAGAUUUUAAAUUAUGCAGUGGUUUCAGGGUCAUGAGCUCCUGGAAUUGGCAAGAGAGAGUGUCAUCCUUUAUCUGGAAGAUGAGGAUAGCAGUACCCGAAAAGCUGCUGCGAUAUGCUGUUGCAGAUUAGUUGCACACUCUCUUUCUGCUUCGUCUACUUCACAGUUCAGUUCAAAUAGGUCAAAUCGUAUGGGAGGAGCUAAGCGCCGUCGUCUUAUAGAAGAGGUUUGUCUUCAACUUCAUCAUGUGCUCAUUAAUUAUCUGACAUGCAUAUUGAAGCUAUCCUGUUUGAUGCUUAAAAUUACUACUUAGGCCCCCUUUGUUUGGGCUACAGAUUCCUGAAAAUCACUUGUGCCUAGGAUUUUGAGAAUCGGAAUCUGAGUGUUUGUUUACCCUGCUGUAGAAAAUUCACGACUACUGUGAAAUGUCCAGAACGCCCCGAAUGAACAAAUGUUCAGUAAUAAAACUUGCAAAAACUUAUCACAUUCAUCAAACAAUUAAUAAAUUUACUAAUUCACUCGUUCAUGCAUACCUGCACAUUCUGGACACACAUGAUCUGAGCAAAAAAUUCCAUGGAAGAGGAAAACAAAUGCCUAUCAACAGAAAAGGUAGACAUGCUACAAACAGUACCAAUACGUUGGUGUUGAACGCGCUGGUGUACGGCGGACGGAAGGAGUGUCCGUGAUUGCCUCCGAGCAGCGGCUGUUAGCUCGCCUCCGGGCAGCAGUUGUUGCUCGCCUCCAUCCAAGCAACCGACAAGGACCAUGAUGGCAACCUCGGACCAGAGCGACUCCGCCGAGCACCGUUCCCAGCGCCGUACGUGGGUGCUACGCAGCAGAGCACCAUCCCCACCGUCGUACGUAGUUGCUGAGCCGCCGAGCACAACCUCAUGUGGAUCUGGCCGGCGAGCAGCAGGACACCACCAGUCUCCAUGGUCGCGAACCCGCGAGGUCGAGGAGGAAGGGGAGAAGGCAGACGGCGGCCGUCCCUGGUGUGGCUCCUAGCUGGACGAUCUUGGGGCGGGGCGAGCAAGGACGAGGCGGUGGCUGGGUGAGUAGAUCGGGAGAGACGAGAGCUGAGUGGCUAGGGUGGUUUGCUCGGGUGAGGGUUACGAUGGCAAUUUGGCUGUAAUUCUGACUGGAAACAGGGGCAGAGGCUGAAAACGAAUCGUUUUAUUUUGAGGAAGCCGCAGAAUCGCUGGAAUCACCAAAAUCGCUACUUCCGGAUUUCGCUGCAUGGUAGUCCAUUUUCUAGAAUCGAUUCUGGAAUGCUAGCUAGGAAUCUGAUCUGUCUGUUUGAGAUACUGAUUUUGAAAGGUCAAGAAUCUAGAAUCAGUAGCUGUAGCCCAAACAAAGGUCACCUUACUAGACAUGCCUGCUGUAACAUGUAUUUUUUUGGAAGAGCUGAGGUAAACGUUUUGAAAUGAGUUAUUAUUAACUGCAUGUGCAAUUGUUUCAUUAGUACUUUCAGAAGCCAUAGUCACAGAUAAAAUCCAAAGUCUCAGUUUCUAUGCAAGCAUGUUGUGAAGCAUGCCCUUCUUGACAAGACUUGGUUAUUCAAUAUAACAUUCAAGCAUGUGGUGAAGCAUAUCUUUCCUGAUUGGACUUUUCUUGAAAAUUCGUUACAUGAUACUGCUUCAGCUUGCCACAUUAAGUACCAUAUCUAAACUUCGGUACUGCCAUCUAAAAUUGCUUACAUGAUACUGCUUCAGCUUGCCACCCUUUGUUUUACUACUUCCGGUAACAUCAUACACGACUUUUUGCAUUUGAUGUGAAGCUAAUAAUUUGUUGAACCAUCAUGCAAAUUUCUGCUAUUGAUAUAAUAAGAAGUGUAUAUUUACUCUGAACUAUUAGCUGAAAAAACUGAAGCAACAAUUUUUAACACAGGCAAGCUGAAAUUAACCAUAAUUCAUUAAUGAAUUUCUUGAUUUUGUAUUUUCCAGUUUGAAAACAUAAGUUGACCUGGUAAUAGCGUUCGAAAGAAACAUAUAAAAGAUUCAAGCAGCCUUCGGCGACCAUUUAUCCUUGUUCCUUUAAAGUAAAUUAUGUUUUUGCUCUACAACACAUGAUCACUUGUCCUCUGAGAAAAAACAUGUCAACAACUAUAGCAUGCUUACUGUGGAACCUCAUCAUAGCCUUGGUCAGCUCUCUCUCAUAGUCCUACUGCACAUGUCUCUUAUCUUUGUGAAAUGGCUAUUUCUAAGUAAAAAGCGGACUUAUAUUGUGAAAUGGAGGAAUUGCAUUCUCAUCAAAAAUCAUUGGUACCCUCAACACAAAUUUCACACCUGGACAUAGAAAUGGCAUUAACUGGCUACUCCAUAUACUAAUUAGCCUUAGGGUAUGGAUAAUAUAUUAGAGACAAUUCACUAGUAUCAGUUGGUACAUGUUUCAGUUUGACUUACAUGGAAAUGUAGAAUGCGAGAAACUGAGUUUGACUUACAUGGAAAUGUAGAAUGCGAGAAACUGAGUUAACAUCUCAUAAGAUAUGACAUGGUAGACGACUCCUACCAUCUUCCAUUCAACUGUAUGUUAAUUAUGGAUGUAUGUCUGUAUGAAAUUUACAAUUUAACCAUGAAUGAUGAUUUUUUUUAAUACUGCAUGAGUAAAGUUUCUCAUGGGGAACUGUAGUAUUUAUAAACAUUGACAUGAAGCAAACCAUGUAUGAGAAGAUGAUAGGCUGUAAAAGGGUAGAGGUGGUUCGCAUCGUAUCUGGCACAUCUGUGAACUAGGAUAAUUAUACCUGUUAACAUAUUUCAUGAUUGUGUAACUUGCCUCACACAUACUAUGUGUGCGACGAUAUGCAUUUCCAGAAACAAGGUUAGGCAGACAACAUGAGACAUCAGGUAUAUCAUGUUAGAAAAUGGAAAUGCAUCAUGUAGACAAUACUUGAGGAUCAGAAGAGCAGCAGACUCGGUACUACCAUGGCAUCAGAACAUUUAGAGCCUCUACCCGCCAUUCUCUAUAGCAAAUCACUAAUGUACCUAGUAACUGCAUUACUGUCUUUAUUAACAAAUCGUCAGAUGUACUUAGUUACUGCCUUAUUAGACAACAUCAAGUGAGCAUGCUAGGAAUCACUAGAUGUAAAUGGACCAGAAGAUUGAAGCUGGCCUAACUGGAGGAGGCAGUGGGUUCAUAGAGUGGAGUUCAGAGGCUGCAUUGACUAGGAAGAAUGGGAGGGAGGAGGUGGCACAAUGGCUGUUGGAGGCGGUGGUGUCGAGUGAGUGCGUCGGGUGGAGGCAAGGGUUAGUUUGUUGGGUUAAUACAGAAUGAUUGGGCCUACACAGGAAGGACCUGCAAUCAGGAGCUUGUCCUGUGUGAUAGUCAGUCAUGCUUAAGCCAUCGAUCCCUGUCAGUUACACAUUAUUUUCAGAUUUGGACUCGGUUUAUGGGAGCUGCACACUUUAUGUUGCGUCAUAGGCACUAUAAGGCCCCGUUUGAUAGCAAAGUAUUUUGAGAAUACUACAGUUCUUUUAAAUUACCUUAGUUUUAUUUACAGUGAGCUGUUUGGUUGCCCUAACAACUGUGAUUUUAAUACUGCAGUGUUGAACAAACUAUGUUUUUUCUCUGUACAAUAAAAAGAACCCAAGACCUCUUUGAAAAAAACAGAGCAGCCGGAAAGAAGGGACUGGCGUCGUUAUCCUUCCCUGCUCUGCUCAACAACUCGCUCUGGCCUCGUUCUAAGUGAUCAUUUUGUUAUGAAAGCAACUUAUCUUUAUUGAAGGCCCAAGGGGCAUAUAUAUAUUACACAAGACUUGAGGUGCAAGGAAAGUAAANUUCCUAACAACCCCCCCCCCCCCCUUCCUCAAAUGCAAAGCGUAUGCAAUAGCAUUGCAUUUGAAGAAGUGUAAUACUAAAGAAAGUUGAUAAUCCAAAUUCGCGUCUUGGGAGUGUCAUCGUACCAUGAAGAGUCUUCAAAACCUGUCGAGUCAAGCCAAAGGGUUGUGAAAAGAAGAUNNNNNNNNNNNNNNNNNNNNNNNNNNNNNNNNNNNNNNNNNNNNNNNNNNNNNNNNNNNNNNNNNNNNNNNNNNNNNNNNNNNNNNNNNNNNNNNNNNNNNNNNNNNNNNNNNNNNNNNNNNNNNNNNNNNNNNNNNNNNNNNNNNNNNNNNNNNNNNNNNNNNNNNNNNNNNNNNNNNNNNNNNNNNNNNNNNNNNNNNNNNNNNNNNNNNNNNNNNNNNNNNNNNNNNNNNNNNNNNNNNNNNNNNNNNNNNNNNNNNNNNNNNNNNNNNNNNNNNNNNNNNNNNNNNNNNNNNNNNNNNNNNNNNNNNNNNNNNNNNNNNNNNNNNNNNNNNNNNNNNNNNNNNNNNNNNNNNNNNNGGGUUGUGAAAAGAAGAUGGCACAUCAGAGGAAGACACCACAUCACUUGAAGAUACAACAUAAGUAUCAAUAGAAGAUGGGUUGUGAAAAGAAGAUGGCACAUCAAGAGAAUAAAGCGUUGCGCAGAAAAUCAUAGUCCACGACAACCGUCGGCGAAAGAAGCUCGGCGGAUAAGGCAUGAUGGACGUAGAUCGACAAUGCAAAAGAAGUCUAGAAAAUCCUAUAGAAAACAACAAGGGCAAAUAGGCCACAAAAGUUGUAUAGAAAUGAUCAGGACCGGAGAAAGGCUGACGGACAAUGAUAUGGUGGACUCCCAUGGCAUGAGAAACACAAAAUAUCAACCGAUUUGAUGGACGCAGCGAAAAAUAUAAAAAACUAGAGAGCUAGGAAGCAUAUGCUAGACGAAAAUGCAAAAGCCAUCGUGAAAGCAGACUGUGUAAAUGAGAUGCUGACAAAGGAGCAGCAAAAAGGAGCACUUGACACAUGAGGGUGUAGCAAUAGCAGCAGCAAGCACACACACGUUGGAUGGAGGGCAGCAGCCACGUGCUAGGCAUAGGCUACACAUGCGAGCAGUAGGAGAGCAGCAUAUCUGCAUGGCUUCGCACAGACUUGCAGAUUGGGCAGCUCGCGCGCUGAUCUUGCGGGCGGACGGAUUGGAACGGCGCCAUACCAGUCAACGCAGGUAAGGCCGGCACGAUUGGCUUGAGCUCAUGGCGUCUGAGAUCCAAUAAGACGACGGCGGAGAGCUCCUGCAUGAGAGGUGGCUGCCGGAUCCGCAUGCGUUGAUUGACCUGCAGACAUGGAGAGCUGGGCGGCAGCGGAGAUGAGCCAGACGGGCAGGGGCAGUGGCAACGCGGGGAGCAGGGACCGGCGGUGGGAGGAGUAAUCAGUGCACGAGUUGCACAGAUCGAUCUAAGAUCAGAAAAAAAAUCAAUUGGGAGAGGAGGACGAGUUGCGCGUCCGAGGAGAAGACCUAAACCUAGGCUCUAAUACCAUGUUAUGCAACCAACUUAUCUUUAUUGAAGGCCCAAGGGGCACAUAUAUAUAUAUAUAUAUAUUACACAAGACUUGAGGUGCAAGGAAAGUAAACAUAGACUAAAGGGCUCCUAGAUCAACACUAAUACUUCCUAACACAUUCCUCUGAUGCAUUUUGGUUGACAUAAUAUUGAUCAUAUUGGCAUUCUUGUAUCCCUCUGCAGAUAGUGGAAAAACUUCUUAUUGCUGCAGUUGCUGAUGCUGAUGUUGGUGUUAGGAGUUCAGUCUUCAGGGCUCUGUACCGUAAUCCAACUUUUGAUGAUUUCCUGGCCCAAGCUGAGAUCCUGACUUCAAUUUUUGUUGCCUUAAAUGAUGAGGUACACUGUAUGACAUGUUUAUCAGUUACCAUAUAGAUAUGUUACCAGAUGCUUUCGGCACAUUUGUUAAGUUUGUUCUUAUUUUUCUUCUUUUAUGGAAGUACUAUUAUUUUGGAGCAGGGACGUUAUGGAAGUAGUGUUUAAAUACCACAUCUUCGUUCUUGGUUAUUAUAUCCAUGCUCAGAAAUAUCUACAUUAGGACCCGGACAUUUUGUUGUUCUCUUUGCACUAUUCCAGUUCACGUUCCCUUCAUAUAUCUGUUAGUAGCAAGUACUCCCUCCGUUCCUUUAUGUAAGGUGUAUAAUUUUGGCGCGGUAACCAAGGCACAUAAUUAUAGAAAAUUUAGAACAAGAGUACUCUGAGCUAUUUCGUUGACUAGCGGCAAGUAAAUCGUUUAGGCUAGGAAAGGAAGAGAUACACACAAUCGGGAGGGAUACACUUUCCUUUUUUUCUCUAACAAAGAGAGAUACAUGCAAUCGGGGGAUAGAUACUUUCCAUUUUUUGGAGGGUUAAAAAUGGAAUUACGUGGAAAUAUAAGAAAUGCACCUUACAUUGUGAAAUUUUAUCAAAAAGUAAAUACACAUUAUAUAAAGGAACAGAAGGAGUAAUUUGUAAACAUUAUGACCCCUGCUAUUGCUGACAUUUUUUUUCCUUUUCUCCAUGAUUUAGGAGUACGGUGUAAGAGAAUUGGCAAUUUUAGUUGCAGGCAGAUUGUCUGAAAAAAACCCUGCAUAUGUAAUGCCUGCCCUUCGUCGCUAUCUUAUACAGUUGCUCACCUAUCUUGACCAAAGGUUUGUAGCAUCUAAAAUUCGUGCUGGUUUCAAUUCAUAUUGUGUUACUACAGCCUCAUGCUUCGAAAUAUCUUUGUUGUCUGCAGUAUGGAUAGCAAGUGUAGAGAGGAAAGUGCUAGAUUGUUGGGCUGCUUAAUUAGGAGCUGUCCACGGCUAAUACUUCCUUAUAUUGCUCCAAUUCACAAGGUUAGUAAGACAUGAGAUCAUUUACACUGUUUCUUGUGCUAGCCUUCCCACGUCAUGUUUUCUGUCAGGCGCUGGUGGCUAGACUUUGUGAAGGAACAGGACCAAUGGCCAAUACUGUGCUUGCUGCAGGAGUGCUUGCCACUGUUGGAGAAUUGGCGAAAGUGGUAUGUCUUUCUCUAUCAUGUGAUGUUUGGUUCAUUUAGCCCCUCUACUUUUACAAAAGUUCAAAUUGGUCCAAUCGUGUCGGGUAACAAAGGGUCCAACCAGGACUUCUGAAUUGUGAUAAUUUAUGUUCUGCGUGAUAGGGUGGUUUUGCAAUGAGGCAAUAUCUUCCUGAGCUAAUGCCUCUGGUUGUGGAUGCUCUUUUGGAUGGAGGUUCUGUGAGCAAAAGGGAAGUUGCGGUAGCAACCCUUGGACAAGUUAUUCAAAGCACAGGGUACAUGCCUUUUUUGUCUUCUCAUUUGUGUGCAUAUUGAGUUGCAUAUUUCAAAUUGACAACAUGAUAUCAAUUCUAUAUCACAAGAUUUUCGCUGUUAAAUUUUUCUGCCUGUCCAUGGAAGUUUGUUAUUGCUUUGUUCUUGUUAGUGUUGUUUAGCGUUGUUAUCUACUCCAAACUUGAGGUUUGAAAUAGUAAUAGUGACCUUAGUUUCAGAAAAAAAGUAAAUGUGAGUAUUCUUAGUAUUUUGUGAGCAAUAUAAUAUAUUUUCUCCGUCUCGGUGCAUAAGGCAUGCGCGUAGUUCUAGGCCAUCAAUUUAGGGCCAGUUCUUUUGGCAGCUUAAAAAAUAAGCCGCCUUAAGCCGUCUCUCUUAUUCGUUGGGGCUUCUAAACUAGUUAUGUGAUAACUAAUUUAGAAGUCAACAAAUUUAGGGGGCGGCUUAUUUUUAAGCUGGGGAGAUGGGGAGAGGCAGCUUAUUUUUUAAGCCGCCCAAAAGAACUGGCCCUUAACUAGCUAAAUAUGUAUUAUUUGUAAUAAUAUAUAUACAUAUAUAUAUAUAUAUAUNNNNNNNNNNNNNNNNNNNNNNNNNNNNNNNNNNNNNNNNNNNNNNNNNNNNNNNNNNNNNNNNNNNNNNNNNNNNNNNNNNNNNNNNNNNNNNNNNNNNNNNNNNNNNNNNNNNNNNNNNNNNNNNNNNNNNNNNNNNNNNNNNNNNNNNNNNNNNNNNNNNNNNNNNNNNNNNNNNNNNNNNNNNNNNNNNNNNNNNNNNNNNNNNNNNNNNNNNNNNNNNNNNNNNNNNNNNNNNNNNNNNNNNNNNNNNNNNNNNNNNNNNNNNNNNNNNNNNNNNNNNNNNNNNNNNNNNNNNNNNNNNNNNNNNNNNNNNNNNNNNNNNNNNNNNNNNNNNNNNNNNNNNNNNNNNNNNNNNNNNNNNNNNNNNNNNNNNNNNNNNNNNNNNNNNNNNNNNNNNNNNNUAUAUAUAUAUAUAUAUUUAGAAAUUACAUUCGCAUGGGGAUCCAGUAAUAUGCUUUUGAUGACAUAUAACACAUUUUUAGUUAGUCAAAUCGACGACCUAGAACUAUGCGCAUGCCCUAUGCAUCAAGACGGAGGGAGUACAAUUCAUGGGCCUCCGCAGCGACAGACCAUGAGAAAUGCGGAACCACCUUUUAGUUGUGCCCCUUUCAGCCUUGCCUAUUGGUAUAAAAAAUUCAGCAUCCAGUGGACGACCGAUGACGACCUUGGUCAAAUAAGCCUAGAGCUCCUCUCGAUAGCUGGAUUGAUUCUUUAUAUUAACUUCCUGGCUUGUAUAUAAACUCCUCUCUGUUCUUAACUCUUUGUAAUUAUCUGGGUGUAUAUUCCCCUUUCUCUUGUAAAUAUAUACUAUCGGGGCCUUCCCUACAGUUUUUUGUAAAGAAAGAAGUCAUGCCAAUCCUAGGUUUGAUGGGCCCAUGGGCCAAGCCGUCCUAUAAACAUUUCAUACAUAACAUCUGGUAGUUAUAGAGUCAUUGUGAGCCCCCCUUUUUUAAAAGCUUCACUUUCUUGGGUGGUAUCUUACCCUUUGCGUUUGGUAACUACCUGCUCUGCUUCCUGCCUCGCGGGCACAGAUGGCUCUCAAGUCUUGACCCUUGAUAAUAGUUUGCUAAUAUGUAAAAAAACCUCGACCAACAGGGACUAUGCCCUGUGUCUUUUUAAAUUAAGAAGAAACAAUCAAGGCACAUACCCUGCGGAGCAGAGGGCUCGAACGCUGGUGGUGGUCUGGGCACACACCCAGGUGCGAGGCGCUGGCCAACUGGUGGACGCCCAGUUAGUAAUGUGGAAGAUAGCUGCAUUAUAACGUCCAAGUACUUGUUUUCAUAUAUGUUGUAGAGUAAUUAAUUUCACUAUGUAUGUAUUGCCAUGGCUUGGUCAUCGCUUAUAUUUUCUGUUUUUUCAUGGAUGGUCAUCAGCUAUGUUAUUGCUCCCUAUAACGAAUAUCCUCCGUUGCUUGGCUUACUCUUGAAGUUGCUGAAUGGUGAACUGGAAUGGUCUACUAGAUUGGAAGUUCUGAAGGUAUUUAUUUGGCUGAUGCGUUGCUGUUUCAUGAAAAACAAUUAUAUUGCCCUUGUGUUAUAAGGUGAUAUAUUUUGCAGGUUUUAGGGAUUAUGGGUGCGUUGGACCCUCAUGCACAUAAGCGUAAUCAACAUAAUUUACCUGGUCAACAUAAUUUACCUGGUCAACAUAGAGAGGUUCUACGUCCAACAGUUGAGACUGCACAACAUGUCGUUUCCAUGGAAGAGACACCAACUGAUUUCUGGCCAUCUUUUUCGGCGUCUGAGGACUACUAUUCCACGGUAUGAUUUUGUGUUACCUAUGUUGGAAAUAGGGAGGAUCCUUGUAUUAGUCCCUUUAACCGUAAAGUUAUCAAUUGCUAGGUUGCAAUUAGUUCUCUCAUGCGUAUUCUCCGAGAUCCUUCCCUUGCAAGUUAUCAUCAAAUGGUUGUUGGCUCUCUUAUCUUCGUUUUUAAGGUAUAAUAUUUUUAUUUUGAAUUUUUUUCCUUCGACUAUGUUUCUGCAUUAUCACUUUAAUAAUUUUUCUGUGUUCUCUGUGAUACAUUUGGAUCUAGUCAAUGGGCCUUGGCUGUGUUCCCUAUUUACCAAAGGUGAGACUCAAUUUCCUCUACUGUACUGCAACUCUACAAGUCCUGCGCAUUUAUAGUAGUCAUGUUUCACCACAGUACUGUCCAGAUGUGAUCCACCAUCUCUGGCUGACUGGAAUACUCAUGCAUGAGGGAUUUUAUUUCUAGCUGAUACUCGGGGCAUGCAUGGCCUUGAGUUGUUAGCUUUCUAAGGAACCGUAACUGAUAUGUCAAUAACCUGUUUGUUGCAUCAACUGAAGUCCUUCCACAAAACCAAAUCAUGAAUUAUGUGAUUUGGAGAGUUUUAACAACAAUGUCAAAUUUCAAGCUUAAUUGCAGGAUAACCUUUUUAUGUCAUGAGAAAGUUGUACCUAGCAAGUUCCUUCAAACAGUAUCAGUUGUUUUUUCCAAGAUUUUCUGUGAUCUCCAUUUCUCCAGUUAUUCAAAUUCUUGAUGGGUCCCAAAAACAUUUAUUGAACAGAUAAAGUUUUCCUCUGGUUGAGUGAAUCACAACCAGAAAGCUAAACCUUUUUUUUCCGGGGUAUUCUUUAAGUUUGACCAAGUCUAUAGAAAAUAUAUAUCAACAUCUACAAUACCAAAUUAGUUCCAUUAUAUUCAUCAUAAAAUAUAUUGUUGUUCUACAUAUAUAUCAACAUCUACAACACCAAAUUAGUUCCAUUAUUUUCCGAUGGCGCUGAACUAAGUGAGAGCGCAAAUCCUCUAAUCGUACGCUCCGGUGCUAAUUACAUGGCGUGCCGCUCAUGCAGUACAACCCACGACCACCGCGCUAAUAGCGCAAUGGAUUUAUUUUUUGUUACCGCUGCAGCGCGCCCAACCUCCACCAGGUGGAACUAUUCCCUAAUCACGGUAAAAAUGCUAGCAAUGAAUGGUAAUGGAAUUAAAUUUCUUUACCAGAUUCCAUGCACUGACAACGCCAAAGUGCCCAAAGGCUCCUGCUACUAACCAUGGUAACAAGAAUGGCAUGCAUGAUAAAAAAAAGGCACGACAGCCCGGUGCACAUAGCUCCUGAUUGCGCAGGGGCCGUGUAAUGGAAAUAAAAUCAUUACGAGGUGUCGCACACCACUCCUCGAUCCUCUAAUCUAACCGUAAAAUAAGCUGAACACAUAGUAAUGUUACCAGUCCCGUGCAUAAUCCUUAUCAUGCGCUCUGGCGGUAGGUAAAGUCAACCAGACCAGCAAAUCCUUUGGUUCGAUGGUAAAAGGUUUCUCCGAAUGUAGUAACAAUCUGUAGGUAGUUAUGGCUGAUGCAUAGGAUAAGAAAUUGAUGGUUAACCUGAUGAACACGGUGAUAAACAGGUAAGUUUUUCUAGUAAAAAGUGCACGUGCACGUUCAUGAGCGACGGUUUGGAACUCACAUGCAGUAGCUAUGUGUACAUGUGACUUUCCAAACUAAGUAAUAUUACCAUAAAAUGUUAAGAUCUUAUAGUAAUGAUGCAUAGCUCUUUACGGCUAGCCUAAUACUACUAGCAUAUAGGUUUCUAGUUGAUAUAUUUAUAGUAGUAAACAUGGCAUAUAAUGGUAGUAAAAAAUUAGAGCAGAGGUUUGUUUUCUAUGUACCACAAUGGUUUGGUUCUCUCUCCGUCUCUCUCUCUCUAUCUAUCUAUCUAUCUAUCUCUCUCUCUCUAUAUAUAUAGAAAUAUAUAUAUAGAAAAACCAACGACAGUCAUCGGAUGUCGAAUGGAUGUCUCAGAUCCAUCUUAACUGACCAUGGUGGAGGGACCUAUUUAUACAUAACUGUUAGUCAGGUUUUUUUUCAUAAAAUAAACAGGAAACUUCCCCACUCACGUGCGUUGAAUGUGAGACAUCCACUCAGGAUCCGACGGAUGACAUUAAGUUUUUCUAUUCUUGCACACUAGUCUUCCCCUAUAUAUAUAUAUACCUAUAUGUAUAUAUAUGUAUGAUGUUACAAAAAUUAGCAAUUUUCUCUGUAGACUUGGUCAAAUGUAGAGAAGUUAGACUUAGGACAAAGCUAGAACUUCAAAUAAUUUGGAACGGAGGGAGUGUUAGGGUUGGAUAUAAGGCAAUUGGUUUGACACUGCUAUAUUUUUGUGCGAAAAGAUUGAAUACGUGUUACAGUUGCACGGUUGUUUUUUUUUGAAAUACUUCCUCUUUUGAUUGAAAGGUUCUCCCUGAGCUAUUCCGCGCCGUUCGUAUGUGCGAGGAUGGUGGUUUGAAAGAGUUCAUAACGUGGAAACUUGGGACAUUGGUAUCUAUUGUUCGACAGGUAAGAUGGCCCUUCUAGUGUUACCUUUUCUCUUCAUUUCAUUCUUCAAAGAUUUUUGUUGUUGCAAUUGGUAUCUAGUGUAUUUCAUCAGAUUUACCUUUUUCAGCACAUUCGGAAGUAUUUACAAGACAUACUCUCUCUCGUCUCUGAAUUAUGGACUUCCUCGUUCAGCCUUCCUGCACCAAAGCGGACUAUACAGGGUCCACAGGGCUCUCCAGUAAUAACACUUGACUUUUCCUCUGUUGUUAUGUUCUGUUGCGCACCUACAUUUUAUAAUUUCCAUAGAUGAGGCAUAGUGGUAUGCUUACAUGGGAAUGAACACAAAAGGCAGACAAACUGCAUUUUUUUUCUUAAGUUGUACAUUAGGCUUGAUGCUCAAUUUCAACCAUCCCACUUAUUUUGGAUUAGCUAUGUUGAUGACUAUAUUCUACGGCUGGUAUCAUCUUUUGUCGCCACAUGCUUCUGUGCGCAUAGCUAUUUUAUGUUUUUAAAAAUCAUUAAGUCAGCUGAUAAUAGUGGAAUUUCCAGGCUUACCUGCCUCUAGCUAAUAUGGGUAUUUCCCGACAAUGCAUAGUUCACUGCAGUAAUAAUAGCUACAUUAUAGGCAGGUAGCAAUAUUGUACUCCCUCCGUCCCAAAAUANNNNNNNNNNNNNNNNNNNNNNNNNNNNNNNNNNNNNNNNNNNNNNNNNNNNNNNNNNNNNNNNNNNNNNNNNNNNNNNNNNNNNNNNNNNNNNNNNNNNNNNNNNNNNNNNNNNNNNNNNNNNNNNNNNNNNNNNNNNNNNNNNNNNNNNNNNNNNNNNNNNNNNNNNNNNNNNNNNNNNNNNNNNNNNNNNNNNNNNNNNNNNNNNNNNNNNNNNNNNNNNNNNNNNNNNNNNNNNNNNNNNNNNNNNNNNNNNNNNNNNNNNNNNNNNNNNNNNNNNNNNNNNNNNNNNNNNNNNNNNNNNNNNNNNNNNNNNNNNNNNNNNNNNUAUUUUGGGACGGAGGGAAUAGUUUACUAGAAAAGAACAUUUUGAGAUUCUUUGAAUGACAUGUAAAGUCUGUAGGAUGUUAUAUAGAGGUCGCAGUAUCAGUACAAUGUAUUAGGUAAUAAGCCAGCAGAUAACAUAUAGACCUGCUAGAUAAUACUGUAACAUAAUUGUUUAUGUCAAUAGAUAUGAAAAUAGAGGUCGGUGAAUUGGUUGGAAUCAGGCAAGAGAGGAACCCUUAAAAAAUUAGGAAGUGCUAUUCAUAACUCAUCAUUUGCGCCCUCUUUAUAGAUUAAGAUACAAACAUAUGAUUACUAUUUUCUUGCAUGUUCAUCCCUGGUUGACCACUCACUAUUGCCUGGUUAAACAUUCACCAUGCUGUAUAGUGAGUGUGUCUUGCUAACCUGCUGAAAGAUCUUGUGCACCCAAACUGAUUCUGUGGUUGGGUGAGUGACUAUGUUUCCUGAGCGUGGUUUGUGAGAAGUCCAGUUUAAAUGAUAUAAUUUCUGUGUAUUCCUAUAAUUAUAUCAUGGCAAUUAGAAAAUUCGUGGAGCAAUAGUUUUGUGAUUCUGGUUUUUCAUAUCAUGAUUUUCUUAAUUUUACUGUCUUGCUUCUCCAGGUUCUUCAUCUUGUCGAGCAACUAUGCUUAGCAUUGAAUGAUGAGUACAGAGUGUAUUUAAUCCAUAUUUUACCAAGUUGUAUUCAAGUCUUGGGUGAUGCGGAACGCUGCAACGAUUAUUACUAUGUUCCUGACAUAUUACACACACUUGAAGUGUUUGGCGGUUUGUGUCCAACUCCUACUUUUUUUCAUGUCCUUAAUUUAUGUUUUGAAAAUUAACAUGGCACCUUUUAGGAAAUUUGGAUGAGCACAUGCACUUGGUUGCUCCAGUGCUUGUUCGUUUAUUUAAAGUGGAGCUAGUUGACAUCCGACGGCGUGCUAUCAUUACUUUGACUAAGCUUAUACCUAAUGUGCAGGUCGGUUGAUGUUCUAAUCCAGUUUGAUUUAUCAUACAGCAAAAAGCUGCUUCUGUGCUUUUGAAUUGCUCAUCAUGCAUCUUCGAUAUAACUUGUCCAGGUUGGUACUCAUGUUUCGGCGUUAGUGCAUCAUCUGAAGCUCGUCUUGGAUGGGUAAGGUUUAUGGUUACAAAUAAUUUAAUAUAUCUAACGUAUUGGGCUUUCCUUGUACUUUUUAAGUUCUUGUUUUCGUAGCAUAUUUAUUAUCACAAUAUUAUUUCUACUUCUAAUUGAUUCGUAACUGGUUAUUUCUACUUUUAUCAAUUUAAUUAAUACAUUUUAUUUUGUGAAUCUCUUUUCUUAAUUUGACUGUUAUUUCCCCUUAUUGAGUAGAAGCAAUGAUGAUUUACGGAAAGAAGCUGCAGAGGCGCUCUGCUCACUCGCACAUGCUCUCGGAGAGGAAUUUACAAUUUUCAUACCAUCGAUACGCAAACUUCUUGUGAAGCACCAUUUGCGGGUAUUCUGUUUUAAUAUUAUGUAUGUACCUUUUGAUGUCUUUUGCCUAAUUUUUCAUGUUUUGCUUCUUACAGUACAAAAAGUGGGAUGAGACUGAAAAUCGGUUACUAAGGCGAGAACCGUUCAUCUCCGAUAACUUUUCAGUACAGAAGUACACACAGUGUCCACCUGAUGUCAUUAGUGACCCCCUUGAUGAUUUUGAGGGUGUUCCUUCGGAGGAAGCUGAUGAAACACAGCGGCAACCAAGAAGUCAUCAAGUAAUACGCUUUGUUGUUCCAGCUGAGAUCUUAUAGAUUUCUUCACUUCUAUUCUCCUUCAUACUAAUUAUUGUUUUUCGUUGCUCUUUUGACCAUUUUGCCUGGCUUUUAAGACAUCAGAGCUCACUCUUGCCCAUAGAACCUUUGACUUUUUUGAAGAUUGUUAUUUCACCUGGGAAGACCUUGGUUCUUUUUCAAAAAAUAAAAUAAAAAAUCCUAACAUUCUUUUUCAGUUUUUCUGAGCAGCUACCGUGUACACACCCACUUAAGUAUUCAUGGUAGCCACACAUAUCAAUAUGACCACUUGGUAACCACUUACUGUGGUAGUUGCUUGACUUUGUACUAGGCUGCUGUAUGUGUUUUUUGUUCUUAUAUUUUCUUUCUCUGUUGUAGUACUAGGUAGUAGAUUGUUGUAAUUGAUGGUUUUGCCUCUCCGUGAAAAAUGAUUAACAACCUGUAUUGGUCGUCUGCUCUUUCACGUAGCCCCAUUUUUUUCUUGUAUACUUAAUUUAGACUUUUGGUUGCUGCAGGUCAACGAUGUUCGAUUGAGAAGUGCUGGCGAGGCUUCUCAGAGAAGUACUAGAGAAGAUUGGGCUGAAUGGAUGAGGCACUUUAGUAUUGCACUUCUCAAAGAGUCACCAUCUCCAGCUCUACGCACUUGUGCAAGGCUAGCACAGCUUCAGGUACAGCAGUUGUUCUUUAUAAUGUGUUGAUCAUGCUGUGAAUUAUUUUCUGACAUAAAUAUCCAGCCUUCUGUUGGACGCGAGUUGUUUGCUGCGGGUUUUGCAAGUUGCUGGGCCCAAAUGACCGAAUCAUCCCAGGAGCAACUAGUGAGAAGUCUCAAGACAGCAUUCUCAUCUCAAAACAUACCACCAGAAAUUCUUGCAACGCUGUUGAACUUGGUAAGUUUGGUCAUGGGAUUUUUAUAUACAAUUUUUACAAUUCAUUUGCCAUGCUGUUUCUUUUAUUAAUUGUCCGUUUCUAUAAGUAGGCAGAGUUUAUGGAACAUGACGAGAAGCCUCUUCCAAUUGAUACUAGGCUGCUUGGUGCACUUGCUGAGAAGGUUAGCUGUAUUGUUGCUCUUUGUGUGUCUUUGGCAAACUAUUGAGAUCUUCAUGAGCAUGUGUGUUUUAUUGAAACUUCUGAAUUACUUUCAGUGUCGAGCAUAUGCAAAAGCCCUCCAUUAUAAAGAAAUGGAGUUUGAAGCUGUAUGUUCAAAGAAGAUGGGUGCAAAUCCUGUUACAGUGGUUGAAUCCCUUAUUCAUAUUAACAAUCAACUACACCAGCAUGAGGUUGGUCCUUGUAUCAUAUGAAAGGAUAAAGGAGUGAUCUUUAUAGUUUUUAAAUCUUUUUUAAAUUUCUACAGGCAGCUAUUGGAAUACUGACUUACUCACAACAGCAUCUAGAAGUUCAGUUGAAGGAAUCCUGGUAUAUGCCAGUUUACUACUACACCUAUGACCCCUUUGACAAAGAAUCAUUUUCUUGCAUUUAUUAUGAUCCUUAUUUGGCAUUUUUAAUUAGUGUUUUUAAACUAAUGUCUUUCAAUGAUAAAUAUGGUUGAGAACUUGCUGAAAUAAGACCCAUCGUUUUUUUAUAAUUCAAGUUUCUUGUUUCAAUAUCUGUUUAAAUUUUGUGUAAUGUAGGUACGAGAAAUUGCACCGUUGGGAUGAGGCCCUAAGGGCAUAUACCAUGAAGUCAUCUCAAGCAUCUGGCCCUUUACAACACAGCCAAAAUUUGGAUGCUACAUUGGGUAUGGUCAUCAUUAUUUUUUUUUGCAUCGUACCCUCCUUGCCGAAGACUUGUCACUUUCCAAUCCAAGAAACAGUUUCCAGAAUACCAUUUGAAAAUUCUCAGAUCCUCCACUAGAGCACCCUUGUUAUUGCCUUUUUUUUUCUUCGAACCGGGCUUCCCCCCUUCCCAUUACUUUCAUAACGGAAAUACAUUGUUUACCAUAACAUAGAGAAAUAAGGAAAGAAGAGAAGCCAUUUUUCUGUUCUAAUGCACCCUUGUUAUUGGCUUAUUGUGGAAGUCAUUUUCUGUUCAAAUAUGAUUGUCCGCGGAAAAGAAAAACAGAGAAAACCACAUAGGGAGUUAUUUAUGCCUAAUAACUCAUAUAUGAAUCUUCUUUAGUAUAUUUAACAAAUGUAACUAGCUGAGAAUCAUGCUUAUGUUAGGGAGGAUGAGGUGCCUAGCAUCCUUGGCUCGGUGGGAAGAUUUAAGCACAUUAUGCAGGGAGCAAUGGACUGGUGCAGAACCGCCUGCUCGGCUGGAAAUGGCUCCAAUGGUUGUGGAUAAAUCUUCUUAUCCAUUUAUAGAUAACUUUUAACAGGUGAACUUAAUUUUUCUUCUUUUUGUUUCUGUUCUUAUAGGCUGCAAAUGCUGCUUGGCAUAUGGGUGAGUGGGACCAGAUGUCUGAAUAUGUUUCUCGUCUGGAUGAUGGGGACGAAAACAAGCUCCGCUCGUUGGGUAACACAACUGCUAGCGGUGAUGGAAGCAGUAAUGGUGCUUUCUUUAGGGCUGUUCUUUCAGUUCGUUGCAAAAAGGUAGAGUAUGUUCUUAUUUUGAACUCUGAUCACAUUCUUUCCAUAGUUUGAUCAUAGUUUGGGAUUUUUGUGUUCCUUUGCAGUAUGAAGAAGCUCGUGUAUAUGUUGAGAGAGCUCGGCGGUGUUUGGCAACUGAACUUGCACCAUUGGUAUGACACAUAGCCAUUAUAUAUGUUAGAGUUAUAAUAUAAGUCAUGUACCUUUUUGUAUUUAUCCCAAUAUAUAAGGGGUUUCCUGCAUAUAGUCCAUUGCCUGUACAUGUAUAUAUACUGGCAUAUGGCCUCAUGGGAAUACAAGUUGCUUAUUCCUAACAUGGUAUUAGAGCUAGGUUAACUUUUGCACGCCGCAACUCGUGCUGUUGAUCCGCCCCACGCCGCCGCUCUCUCCGCUCUCUUCUCUGGCUCGUUCCCGUCAGGCAGCAGCUCUCCUCCUCGUCCCCUCGUGCCCUGCCUCGUCCUAGUCUCCCCGCUGCUCCAGAUCGGAUGGGAUCCAUCCCAGAUCGAAUCGGUCCAGGACAGGGAUCGAAUCCGGCUCGGAUCGAUCCAGGACGGUGCUGCUGAUAAGACUGCGGGACAACGCAGCCUGCGGGACUCCGUGAGCGAAGCAGGGAAGUUGCGCAUAGGCUCAGGGUCGAAUCCAGGACGGUGCUGCUGCUGAUCCCCGCUGCCGCUGAUCCAUCCAGGACGGUGCUGCUGAUUCCUGCUGCCUCUCUGCUGAUCCGGCUCUUAGGACUCCAGCCGCCGCCCCAAUCCCGUCUCGAUCGGAUCUGAUUCCAGUUGCAGCGCCAGCCAGCUCUGCUCUCUUCCUCCAGUAGCAGCGCCCGCCAGCGCUGCUCUCGUCUUUCAGUUGCAGCGCCCGCCAGCCGCCGACCCGAUCCCGUCCCGAUCUCGAUUGGAUCCGGCUCGCCUUGGUACUGCUGUUUCUCUGCUGCUGCAAAAAAAAAAGUCUGCUGCCUCCGGCUAUGUUGCUGUUCCUCGUUGUCCGGUGAUCUUUGAUGGCACUAACUACACCGAGUUCAUUGGCUUCAUGCGCAUUCACAUGCGUGGCAUCCACCUAUGGGGUUUUCUUUCUGGCGAGGUCUGCUGUCCGCCAUGUCCGGUUCCUCCCGUGGCUCCCACUCCGCCGACCCCACCGGCUCUUCCUGCGGAUGCUCCUCAGGCCACAAAGGAUGCGGCUAAGCUUGCUGAUGAGGCCGCUAUCCGUGCUUAUGAUGAGAAGGUUUUGGCUUAUGAGGUGGCUCUUCAGACAUAUCGUGGUGCUCUGUCUACUUACACCCAAUGGCUUGAUGAUGAUGCUCGUGCUGCAGCUGUUCUCACUGCUAGCGUUCUGCCUCAGUUUGCCUCUGAGUUUCUGGGCCUUCCCACUGUGUUUGAGAUGUGGACUCGCCUUCGUCAGCGCUAUGAGCCCCCUGGUGAUGCCUUAUACCUCUCUAUGGUCCGUCAGGAGCAUGCUCUUCAGCAGGGUGAUUCUACUGUUGAUGACUUCUAUGCACAGAGUUCUGCUAUCUGGCGCCAGCUUGAUUCUCUCCUCAGUGCUGGUUGUCGCACUUGCCCCUGUUGCCAGGCUGUCUAGGCCGACUUGGAGUUUCAUCGCGUCUACGAGUUCCUGUCUCAGCUCCGUAAGGAGUUUGAGCCCCGACGUGCUCAGUUGUUUGCUUGUGGCCGUAUUUCUCUCAUGGAGGCGCUUUCUGAGAUUCGUGCUGAGGAGACUCGCUUACGUGGUGCUGGUUUGCUGGAGGUACCCUCGGUGCUCGCUGCUCGGACUUUUUCUACGCCACCUGCUACACCGACCCCUUCUCGCUCGAGUGCUCCGCCGCUCUUGCCCACUCCUUCUGGAGGCUCGGGUCGCCCCCGUCCACAUUGUGACUACUGCAACAAUGAUGGUCAUAUUGAGUCCCACUCCUACACGAAGAAGAAACACUUGCGCAAGGCGCGAUCAUCAUCUACAGCGACUUCGUCAUCUACUUCGACAACUUCAACCAUUGCUUUGACUGAGCAGGAUAUUCUGAGACUUAAGCGUCUGCUCGCUGCUUCAGGUUCUUCCUCGACGGGUACUGCUGGUUUUGUGACCGAGGCUUCCCGCACGGAGCAACCACCUUCUACACAGUCAGGUACAUCCCCAUGGGUUCUGGACUCUGGAGCUUCCUUUCAUAUGACUUCUAAUUCUUCUACUUUGUCCUCUCUUCGAUCGCUUGAUUCUCCUGUUCAUGUCCUCACCGCUGAUGGUACUCCCCUUUCUGUCGUUAGUAGAGGCAAUCUUACCACUCCUUAUUCUGUUCAUGAUGUUGCUCAUGUUCCUCGACUUACCAUGAAUUUGUUUUCCAUUGGUCAACUUUCUGAUUCUGGUUGUCGCGUCAUCCUUGACCUUGACUCUUGUUCUGUCCAGGACCGUCGCACGCACACUCUGGUUGGGGCUGGUCCUCGCCGCCGUGAUUCUGAGGGUCUUUGGGAGUUGGACUGGCUUCAUGUUCCUUUCGCUGCCCACUCUAUCGCCAGUUCUUCCGCUUUGGUCGCCUCAGCUACUGGUUCCUUCCAGCAGUGGCAUCAUCGACUUGGUCAUCUGUGUGGUUCUCGUUUGUCGUCGUUAGUUCGUCGAGGUCUUCUGGGGUCUGUCUCAGGAGAUGCCUCUUUAGAGUAUCAGGGUUGUCGUCUUGGCAAGCAGAUUCAGUUACCAUAUCCACAUAGUCAGUCAGUGUCUAAGCGUCCUUUUGAUUUAGUUCAUUCCGAUGUAUGGGGUCCGACUCCCUUCGCUUCGAAAGGGGGUCAUAAAUACUAUAUUAUUUUCAUAGAUGACUUCUCUCGUUACACAUGGCUUUAUUUCAUGACUUCUCGUAGUGAGGUGUUGUCCAUUUAUAAACGUUUUGCUGCCAUGGUUCAUACUUAGUUCUCUUCUCCCAUUCGUGUGUUUCGUGCUGACUCCGCUGGCGAGUAUAUCUCUAAGAUGUUGCGUGGUGUUCUUGCUGAGCAAGGGACUCUCUCUCAAUUCUCUUGUCCUGGUGCUCACACUCAGAAUGGCGUGGCUGAGCGCAAGCAUCGUCGUCUUCUUGAGACGGCUCGUGCAUUAAUGAUUGCUGCCUCUCUCCCGCCUCAUUUUUGGGCUGAGGCCGUCUCCACCUACACCCAUCUCAUCAAUUUCCAGCCUUCCGCUGCUCUACAAGGUGGUGUUCCUUUCGAGCGUCUUUUUGAUCGUUCUCCUGAUUAUUCGAUGCUUCGCUUGUUUGGUUGUGUUUGCUAUGUUCUUCUUGCCCCCCGCAAACGCACCAAACUGACCGCUCAGUCUGUUGAGUGUGUCUUCUUAGGCUAUAGUGAUGAGCAUAAGGGCUAUCGUUGUUGGGAUCCUAUCGGUCGUCGGAUGCGUAUCUCUCGGGAUGUGACUUUUGAUGAGUCUCGUCCCUUCUACCCACACCCAUCUUCCUCGACUUUCUCAGUGGAGGAUAUCUCUUUCCUCACUUUUCCUGACACACCUAUCACACCCGUCUAGCCUUUGCCAAUUCGUUCCGCUCCCUCUGCUUCUCCACCUCCAGUCGAUUUGUCGCCACCAUCCUCCACGGUCUCCUUGUCUAGCAUGUCACCGGAUUCUACACCUUCAUCUCCGGUGACUUCUUUGUCGCCACUCCCCGAUUCUAUCUUGGUGAUUCCUCCUUCCAUUGUUCCAUCUUUUCCUCAGUGUUACACUCGACGUACACGUUCCGUGGAUGCCUCUGUGGAUGUGUCGUCAUCCUCGUCUCAGCCUACUUAUGGCUUGCGUUCUCGUCCUCGUCCGCUUGUUGAUCGCUUUGGAUUUUCCACCGCUGGUGCUGCAGUUCUUGAGCCCACUAAUUAUCAUGAGGCUGUUGUUCAUCCUGAAUGGCAGUUUGCGAUGGCAGAGGAGAUUGCUGCUCUUGAACGCACUGGUACGUGGGAUCUUGUUUCCCUUCCUCCCGGAGUCCGUCCCAUCACUUGUAAGUGGGUCUACAAGGUUAAGACUCGCUCCGAUGGUUCUCUUGAGCGUCACAAAGCUCGUCUUGUGGCUCGUGGUUUUCAGCAGGAGCAUGGUCGUAAUUAUGACGAGACUUUUGCUCCUGUGGCUCAUAUGACCACUAUUCGUACACUUCUUGCUGUGGCCUCUACACGCCACUGGUCUAUCUCUCAGCUUGAUGUUAAGAAUGCUUUUCUUAAUGGUGAGCUGCGUGAGGAGGUGUACAUGCAGCCACCACCUGGGUACUCUGUUCCUGAUGGCAUGGUAUGCCGUCUUCGUCGCUCUCUCUAUGGCCUUAAGCAAGCCCCCGCGCCUGGUUUGAGCGUUUUGCCUCUGUGGUGACUGCUGCUGGUUUUUCACCCAGUGUUCAUGAUCCAGCAUUGUUUAUUCACCUUUCUCCUCGUGGUUGGACUCUUCUUCUUCUCUAUGUUGAUGACAUGGUCACCACUGGGGAUGACCGCGAGUAUAUUGCCUUUGUCAAGGCCCGCCUUAGUGAGCAGUUCCUUAUGUCUGAUCUUGGACCUCUUCGCUACUUUCUUGGGAUUGAAGUCUCUUCUACCUCUGAUGGUUUCUUUAUAUCACAGGAAAAGUAUAUCCAGGAUCUUCUUGCUCGUGCUGCUCUUACUGAUGAGCGCAUUGUUGAGACUCCUAUGGAGCUCAAUGUUCACCUCUCUGCUACUGAUGGUGUUAUCGUCAUCUUGUUGGCAGUCUUGUUUAUCUAGCCGUCACUCGUCCGGAUAUCUCUUAUCCGGUUCAUAUUCUGAGUCAGUUCGUCUCUGCUCCCACAUCGGUUCACUAUAGUCAUCUCCUCCAUGUUCUCCGAUAUCUUCGGGGCACGAUCUCUCACCGUCUAUUCUUUCCUCGCUCCAGUUCUUUACAGCUUCAGGCCUAUUCGGAUGCUACAUGGGCUAGUGAUCCUUCAGAUCGCCGUUCACUUUCUGCUUACUGUGUUUUUCUUGGUGGUUUUCUCAUUGCCUGAAAGACGAAGAAACAAAUUGCAGUUUCCCAUUCGAGUGCAGAGGCUGAGUUGCGAGCGAUGGCUCUUUUGACGGCAGAGGUGACUUGGUUACGGUGGUUACUUCAGGAUUUUGGUGUUUCUGUCACUACACCGACUCUGCCCUUAUCUGACAAUACAGGUGCUAUUAGCAUAGCGCGCGAUCCUGUGAAGCAUGAGCUCACCAAGCACAUUGGUGUUGAUGCUUUCUAUGUGCGCGCUGCUGUGCAGGAUCAGGUUGUUGCUCUUCAGCAUGUGCCUUUCGAGUUACAGUUGGCGGAUUUCCUGACGAAGGCCCAGACUAGAGCACAACAUGACUUUUAUCUCUCCAAACUCAGUGUUGUUCAUCCACCAUGAGUUUGAGGGGCCUAUGGCCUCAUGGGAAUACAAGUUGCUUAUUCCUAACAAUAUAUUCCUUUGUAUAAUUUCCAUGAUUCAAGUUUUGUCUAAAUUUAUUUUCAUUACUAUAUUAUUCAUAUUUUGGAAAUAUUUUGUGUAGCAUGGUUUUCAUAUUUGCCAAAGCCAACCGAUGAUUACAUUGUGAUUUUGCGCAACACAGCAACCAUAAACUGACUCUCAUACAUCUGAGUUGCUAAGGUGGCCUUUGUUUGGGCUUUAGCUAGUGAUUCUCAGAUUCUAGCUCAUCCAAAAUCUGAAUCUUAAACAAACACUCAGAUUUUUAUCUAAGAUUUUCAGAAUCGAUUUUAGAAAAUGAACUACACGCACCCGGAAGCCAGAAUCAGCGAUCUUGCUGAUUCCCGAGCUGCCACUUACGCAGGUUGAAAACUAGGCGAUGUUCUUCCCGUUAUUACGAUGAAAAUGCCAUCACUCCCAGCCCAAUUUCCUCCACCGACAGGUCCUCUUCCACCUCGUUCUUUUCUUUCCCAACCGAACACACGCACAAAGAGGCCGCCAUGGCUGUUUAGGUUUCGGCCGCCGCCACCUUCGCCGGCCCCGUCGGCUCAAUGGCGUGCGGAUCCGGCGCCUCCGCCCCUCCCCAAACUUGGCCACGAGCUCCACUGCGCCGCUGUCCCACAACUCCACCUGAGAUGUGCUGCUCCUAAUCUCCGCCUCCGCCGCCGCUCCUGACCACCCCUUGCACCGCCGGACUGAGCUGCCCCUGCACCGCGUCGGUGGUCCUGCUGUACUGCACGGGAGCUCCACCCUGGCCCCCUGCUCCUGCUCUACCUGCCCAACUCACGAGGACGUAUAGAUUUCGCUCGUGACCAUUUGUGCAUAAUGGGCGCUAUGGACAUUUCACAACACUUGCGCUUUUUCCGGUAGCAGGGUAAACAAACAGUCAGCUUCAGAUUUUCAAAAUCCACACCCACAGCUGAUUCUCAGAAUCUAAGUCACAAUUGAUUCUUAGUAAUCUGCAGCCCAAACAAAGGGGUAGUAAACGGUGUGUUUGGGUCUUGGGUGAUGGGGUAGGGGGGUAAGAAGAGGCAUUUGGUACUGAUAAAAUAUCUUGCUUUAUAGCUGAGACUAGCAGUAUAUGUGUAACAAUUAGAGGGGAACUUUUGGAACUGAUACAUUAUGUAGGAUAUAAGUAUAGAUGCAAUAACUAGUCUUUAUUCUUCUCCAGCGUGUUAGCACUUACAAUGCACUUUUCUGUUCUCAGAGGGUGUUUCUCUAAUUCUAUCUCAAGAAUUUAAUUGGUUUACAUACCUGGUGUUCUCUUUUAUAUGAAAGAAAAAGUGUGAUUUUUUCAUCGUUUGGCCCUAUAUGGGGGCCUUCUUGUGAUGAACAGUCUGCACUUUCAUAAGUUUGUUAACUGUGUUUCCGUCAAAAAAGGGUUUAUUAACUGCUCACAAAUCCCUUUUGGUCUUCUGUAUACCCAUACUUGUUUGUUACCAAUUUACUAGGUACUUGAGAGUUAUGAGCGUGCUUAUAAUAAUAUGGUGCGGGUUCAGCAGCUUUCAGAACUCGAAGAGGUAUUCUAAUUUUGGUUUAUGUUCUGAAGAAGUUAGUUACGGUUUUACUAACAAAAGGUGUGUAAUUCAGGUGAUUGAUUACUGUACUCUUCCGAUGGAAAGUCCAAUUGCUGAUGGGCGAAGGGAACUUAUCCGUAAUAUGUGGAACGAGCGCAUUAAAGGAACAAAACGGAACGUUGAGGUUAUAUGAUGUAUUUGCUUAAGAAUACUGUGUUGUAGCCUGUAUGGUUCUUAUUCUCCAUGUUGACUUCAAAAUUUUCUCAGGUGUGGCAAGCCCUACUUGCUGUUAGAGAGUUGGUUCUUCCUCCUAAUGAAGAUAGAGAUACCUGGAUAAAAUUUGCUAAACUUUGCUGGAAGAGUGGACGUAUUAGUCAGGCUAAAUCUACUUUAGUCAAACUUUUACAGGUGAAAAUAGUAGUUAUUAAUUAGUGUGCCCAUUUAACUCUGCAAUUCUCUCUAUAAAAGAAACAAUUUCUUAUACCACAUGCAGUUUGAUCCUGAAUCUUCUCCUGAGUUGACACUGUAUCAUGGACAUCCUCAAGUAGUCCUGGCUUACCUGAAGUACCAGUAUGCUGUUGGAGAUGAGCUUAAACGAAAGGACGCAUUUUCUAGGCUACAGGUGAUUGUCCUUGUACUCUGACAAUACAUGGCAGCACUAAUAUCUUCAAGUGUUUAUACUGAUGUACCCUUGUUUCUGGUGAGAUAGGAUCUGUCAGUGCAGAUUGCAACAGCCACAAAUAGUUACUCUGGAAUGCUAGUAAGCCAUGGUGCUAUAUCAAAUGCUGGAGUACCACUUAUUGCCCGUGUCUAUUUGACACUUGCUAGCUGGAAGAGAGCACUGUCACCUGGAUUGGAUGAUGAUGCCAUUCACGGUCCGAAAAACUUCAGUUUUUUCUACUGUUUUCCUUUAAUUUUAUUUCAAUCAAUUGUGAAUCUCUUUCUCCAGAAAUAUUGGUUUCUUACAAAAAUGCCACAUUAAGUGCCAAGGACUGGGGCAAGGCAUGGCACGUGUGGGCUUUGUUCAACACUGAAGUCAUGUCCCGAUAUACUUUGCGAGGCCGUCCAGAUAUAGCAGGAAAAUAUGUUGUUGCAGCAGUAACAGGAUAUUUCUACUCUAUUGCUUGUGCAUCUACAACUAAAGGUGUCGAUGAUAGCCUGCAGGUAAAUCUUUAUUUUUCUUUCUAUUUUUUGUUCUAUGAAGUUGAUUUUAAGCCAAGGGUUCAUAUAGUGGUUGAUCCCAUCGCAUUUCAAAAAUCCUUUUACACCCUUUCCAAUGUUUGAGACGAGCAAAAACUCAAAUUACAAUAUUAUGUUGUUUAGCCAUUUUCCUACUAUAUUUAGAAGUCUUGAAAGGUGAUGUAUGCGGAUCUCUUGACUAGCAGCAUCUCUGACUUGGUCUAAAUUUAACUGGUAAUGAACAGCCGUGAAAUAUCUGGAGUGACAAUUGGUCUGAUCACCUUUUGGGGAGAAGAUUUCCCAGGCUUCACUCCUCUGCCCUUGAUCAUCUUGCUUCGGCCCAGGGUGUACUUGUUACCCAAGAGCUCUUACAUCUUUUUCAUCUUCAGCUUUCCAGCCAGGCUUUCGAUGAAUUCGAGUUCAGGCAAUUCCUGACCAACCUUCAUUGUUCCCCUGAUGUUGCUGAUUCUUGUUCUUUCUCAUGGAUUGCAAGUUUUUUCUCUUCUAAAAUCUAGAGUCCACUUUCAGCACAACCAAGGCCCCCCAACCCCACUGCUUGGCUCUGGAACCCUAAGUACUCUCCUAAGCUUAAAGGCUUUACCUGGCUCCUUCUAAAUGAUAGACUUAAUACAAAAGGCAUCCUCCAACGUCGCUAAUUUAAUCCUCCUGGAGGCUCUAAUUGUAUAUUCUGGAACUUGGAUACCCUGGAAACUCGUGAUCAUCUCUUCUUGUUAUGUAGCUUGAGCUCCUCGUGCUGGAAUGCUCUUGAUUUACGCCUCGAUCUCCCAUGGAAGAAGUUAUCUUCAGGGUAAAGCUCAAGAUCAACAAGCCUUUCUUCUUUGAUAUCACGACGGUUGCAGCUUGAAAUAUUUGAAAGCCAAGAAAUUUUGAAGUCUUUAGCAACAUGUCCCCUAGCAGGGCCACUUGCUUGUUAUGUUUGAAGAGAGAUCCCUCUUCCUUCUUUCUUACGGAUGAAGGAUGAGCUUGCCAUCUCCCAGGGCCUAGUGCUUGCCUGCCUUCUGCCCCUUCUUGUACAGCCCUCGCUCUUUCUUUCCUCCUUUGUACAGCCCCUCUCUUGCACAGGGUCUGGGGAAGGGUCCGACCACUUUGGGUCUUUUUUAAAUAUCUCUAUUUAUAUUAAUAAAAUUUACUGUGGGGGUCCUCCUCUACAUCUUUAAAAAAUCAUUCUGCUACAUCUUGGUAGCAUGAAAAAAAUACUAUGCCACUUUGAGAUGACUGCCUAAAAAAUUGUUUUCACUAAUACCUUGCUUUUUCAAUAAUAUAUUUAGAUGAUUAUGUUUACUUUUGUAGGAUAUUCUCCGUCUCUUGACUCUUUGGUUCAACCAUGGGGCAACCUCAGAGGUUCAAAUGGCGUUGGAGAAAGGCUUUUCACUUGUCAAGAUCGAAAUGUGGUUGGUUGUGCUGCCCCAGAUAAUUGCCAGGAUUCAUUCAAAUAAUAGAAUAGUUAGAGAACUGAUACAAGAAUUGCUAGUUCGAAUUGGAAAGGGGCAUCCACAGGUUCGCAUUUUUCUUCUUAGGCUGAUAAACUUUAGCUAAGAUUUUUGGAUGUUCAACUAGAGUAUAUGUGCUUCUUUCUUGUGAAAUUUACUAGGUUUCUGAAUUGCUAUAACGACUGUCAUAGAGUCACAAUUGUUGCUUUAACAACUAAGGUGACACAAGACGACCUAUCUCCCUAUUCGGUGAUCUAAAGAAACGACUAAAAAAAAUAAAGGAGUCGGUUUAUAGUAGAGAAUGAACAAUGAGACCUACCAGGCAUUAGCGCCCAGUGGCAUUCAUUUAAAGGACAACCAAAACACAAGUAAACGGUUCACUCCGCUGAAUAAUUUUUUGCCUCACAGGGUCGAGCCCUGGCGAGCGGUCUGGUGCCAGCAGACCCCUACCUACUGAGUGAUGCUUGGUUCUUGUUGCAUUCCUCAUUUUUAGUUUGAUCCAUGCUCACCUCCAGUUUUUCUGUCUUUUGUUUGUGUUAACGGUUGCAUAAGGUGGCUGCAUGGUUAGUAGUACCGUUUGUCUUUUUUAGUGUUCAGGUUUGUUGUUUCAUGCUCAGUUUUCUCCAGAAUUCAUUAUGCUUUGUGUGUGUAUGUUGUGAAUUGCUCGUUGGGUCUUGUCUGCCAGGAGCUGACUGGUUCCAUUGUUUCACUGUGAUAAUAACUAUAUUCUUUUUUUUUUUCGAGAAAACACAGAGAUGUGCGUUUCUUUGUAUUGAAAAGAGGGAAAGUCAGUCUCAAAGGAGACGGUUACAACAGAUUACAAGCAACUCAACGGACAUCCCAGGAUGGGGCAAGACUACCCUAAGCCCCUUGUCCCCAGCUCUAGCCCAACAUCUCAUCUCAUCUUUGAUCCCAUCCGCGAGCUCGGGGAGCGACGGAGUGGCAUGAUCAAAUACACACGCAUUCCUAUGUUUCCAGAUCAUCCAUGGAACUAGCAAUGUGGUGGACCUCAGCGCCUUGCGGAGUGAUGGUGGUGUUGCAUCUCUCGCCCUAAUCCACCAGUCCUGAAUGGAGAUAUCCUGCUCCGGUGUGGGGGCUGGUAAGCGCAGCCAGGAAAGAGCCUCGUGCCAGGCUUGCCGCGCGAAGGGACAUGCCAGUAGCAGGUGGUGAAUGGUCUCUGGCUCCUGGUCGCAAAGUAGGCAUCGGGCGUGGUGAGGUAGGCCGCGACGGGCAAGUCUGUCCGGGGUCCAGCAUCGGUCUAGGUUCACAAGCCAGUGGAAAAACUUGACAUUCGGCGGAGCCCAUCCCUUCCAGAUUAACUUCCAGGAAUGGCAAGCGAGGGAUCCGUGGAAGGUGGCCUGAUAGCAUGAUCGCGCCGAGUAUUCUCCAUUAGCAGUCCAUUUCCAGACAAGCCUGUCUGGCUCGGUGGACAAGGCGGUGUGCGUGACGCGCUGCCAUGUCGUCAGGUAUUGGCCAAUCUCUUGCAGCCCCACGACACCGCGGAUGUCUCGGGCCCACGCGUUGCCGGCGAGGCCAUCCGCCACCGUCCGCUCCCUUCUCCUGUUCUUGGGAAUGCAUAGGUACAGCAAGGGUGCUAGCUCGCGGAUCGACUGCCCAUGCAGCCAUCGUCUUCCCAGAACAGCGCCGUGCGGCAGGCAUAGAAGAGGCCGAGCUCCUCAGUGGAGAACUGCAGGUCCAGGCCUUUCCAGGCCCUGUCGGCGUCCGUCCUAGAUAGCCAGAGCCACCGCAGCCGAAGUGCUAGCCCAGUGCGCUCCAAAUCUCGGAUGCCAGUGAGAGGCCGACUGACCGCGCGCCAGUUAACGUGACAGUGUCCUCCCCGAGCAGCCGCACGGCCAGCCCAGAGGAAGCCGCGCUGGAUCUUCUCUAGUUGCUUCAGGGUCUUCUUCGAGUGUGCCAGGGCGAGCAUCUGGUGGAUUGGGAUCGCGCUGAGGACCGAUUUGACCAAUGCCAACCUCCCAGCUUUGUUCAUGAGCCAUGCUUUCCAUGUCGGGAGGCGGCCAGCCACAGCAUCGACUAGCGGCUGCAUCUGAGCUGGUGUGGGUCGCCUGGUGGUGAGCGGUAUGCCCAGGUAGGUGAUGGGCAGGUUCGCCGCCUGGCAGCCCAAUGCCUCCAGCAGGGCAUCGCUCUCCUCGUCGCCGUGUAGGGUCGUGGCCGAGCUCUUGCCAUAGUUGACCUGCAAGCUCGACGCGGCCUCGAAAAUACCUAGGAUGCCCUUCACCGCGAGCACCUCAUCCAUCUCAGCAUGGCAAAACAGCAUCACGUCAUCGGCGUAUAGCGAGACGGCCGGAACAGUACGUCGGGGGUGCAGCCGCCGAAGUAUGCCGGCCUGGAGUGCCCGAUGCAUGAGGCGGCCUAGCGCGUCGACAGCGAGGACGAAUAGCUGUGGUGAUGUGGAGUCCCCUUGACGCAGCCCGCGACGGUGCCAAAUCGGGGGGCCAGGCACGCCAUUGAGCAUGACCCGCGUGCUGGCCGAGGAAAGGAGGAUGGCUAUCCACUCCCUGAACCUGUCCCCAAACCCAUAUUGGCGCAACAUCUCGAAGAGGAACGGUCAGGAUAUGGAGUCGAAAGCCCGCGUGAGAUCGAGCUUGAGCAUGAUGCACGGGGUGCCCAAGUGGUGAAGCAUCCGGAGAGACUGCCGAACGAGCAUGAAGUUGUCGUGGAGGGAGCAUCCGGCAAUGAAUGCGUUCUGGUUGCGGCUGACUAGGCUGUCCAGCUUGGGGGCGAUGCGCAACGACAGAACUUUCGCGAAUAGCUUGGCCAUGAUGUGGAUCAGGCAAAUAGGCCGGUAGUCGCCCAACUUUUGUGCAUCCACGCGCUUAGGCAGCAGGGUCAGGAGGGCUUGGUUGAGCUUAGCAAACCCUCUCCCACGAAGCAGGAAUAACUGCUCAAAGACAUCCAGGAUAUCCUGCCUAAUAACGCCCCAACAGGCCCCGCAAGAACUCUGCGGAGAACCCGUCUGGCCCUGGUGCCUUAUGCGCCGGCAUGUGCUGCACCGCAGCCCAGAUCUCCUCAGGGGUGAAGGGCGCAUCCAGGCUGCCAAGGUCAUCAGCCGUGACGAGCUGCUCGAGGUCCAGAGUGUGCUCUCGGUCCACGGCAGUGCCCAGCAGCCCGUCAAAGUGCGCGAAUGCCACGUGGGCCAUCUCCUCAUGCUCACAUAGCACAUGUCCGUCAACUAGGAGGCUGUGCACGCAGUUUUUCUGACGCCUGAACGUACACUGCUUGUGGAAGAAGCUCGUGUUGGCGUCACCCUCGGCCAGGAAGGAGAUGCGGGCGCGCUGCCGCGCGAUGGUGCGCUCCAGAGAAGCCAGCCCAAGGUACGCCACCUUGAGCUGCUUGCGUAGCCAGUCCUCUGCCGGAGAGAGCAGGCGACUCUCCAUCGCGUGGUUGAAGCGGGCGAUCAGCUCUCGACAUAUGGCCAAUUUGUCCCGGACAUUGCCCGUGGACCUAGCACUUCAACUCGUAAGGGCGCGGGCGGUGGCCUGCAGACGCCGAACCAGCCGCUGGAAGGGGUCGGGGUCAUGCACGGAGCUCCAGGCUGUGGCGACCGUGUCCUGAAAUCCAUCACGGUUGGGCCAGAAAGACUCGAAGCGGAAGCGUCUGUGGGCCGUGGGCAUGGGGGAGCAGUCCAACAGCAGGGGGCAAUGAUCAAACACGACAGAUGCAAGGCAUCUGAGGUGGCACUCUCCGUGGUAAUCCUCCCAGUCCGUAGUGCAGAGUACCCGAUCGAGGUCCACAAGCGUCGGCGGGGUCUGCUCAUUAGACCAUGUGAAGCGGCGCCCAUUCAGGUAUACCUCCUUCAGGGCAAGAUCGUUAAUGGCGCGGCGAAACCUUCCCAUCAUGCGGCGAUUCAGGGUACCGGCGCUCUUGUCCGCGUCACGGUAGAUGAGGUUGAAACCGCCGCAUAGCAUCCAAGGGCCCGGGCAAGCAGCCCGGAUGUCCCGCAGCUCUUGCAGGAACAGUAUCUUGUCGGGGUCGCUUUGAGGGCCAUACACCGUGGUAAGCCACCACGGUGCACCACUAGGCGCGCACACUUUAACUGUGAUCGCAUUUUGGGUGAAUAGGGGGUCGGAGAUGGUGACAACCCUACUCUUCCAAGCGAUGAGAAUACCGCCGCGGGUGCCGUCGGCAGGGAGAUAAGUAGAGCCAUCAAACUCGGAUCCAAGGGUGUCUAGCACAAUCGACGAGCAGACCAACGUCAUUUUAGUUUCCUGGAGGCAUACAAUGGACGCACUGGUGGUACAUAUCAGUGAGCGGAUGGCGCAGCGCCUAGCGCGCGAGUUCAAGCCCCUGACAUUCCAAACCACUAUCUGGGGUCCUGGAUACAUGAGCGCGAGGUCGACUACAGGCACCACCAGACUAGCGCGCGCAUGCCAUGGCAUCACCAACCGGCAUAGACAGGCCUGCAGGGAUCGCACGGUCUACAAGAGCGGCUAUAGCCUGCAGCGCCGGAAGCUUGAUCGGCGCGGCGAACAUGUCGUCAUAUGCUUUCAUCUCGACGGGGGUGAUCUGCUGAUUCGCGCCGACGAUCCCGAGAGUGCGUAGAAUCUGCACCACCGCCCUCCUGUCCGUAGUGCAGGCCGCGGGUGCCGGAGCGACGACGGCGGCGGAAUGCCCCCUCCUGGGACUGAAGUUGAGAGGGGGCCGCUGGCGUUUCCCGGGAGAUGGCAGCAUUGCAUCAAGCUGCUUAGUGGCUGCGGACAGGAAUGCCCCCAGCGUCCAUGUCUGUCCAGUGGCUACACAGGGUCGGCGUCUCUGCAGAGUAAGCGGCGGCGAUGCAAAGCGCCCUGGCAUCAAAGGCUGCGUCCGGUUGCUGAUGGGAAUCGCCCCCGGGUCCGGCUGGCAGGCAGGCCUCGGCAGGAUGGAGAUGUGGCCGCGACCGCGGGGGGGAUCCACUCCUGGUCCCUGCUGUUGUUGUGCGUCCAAGGGCACCACAGACCGAACAACAGGCGGGCCAUCGGGCGAGGGCAUUUCUUCUGCUGUGUGCGCCUCUGCAGGAGCAGGCGUGGCCCCAACGGGCAGGUGAUCCUCGGCUAGCGUCCCAGCAACAGCGACGUCAGCCACCAGCCCAGAGGACUUGGUCCCAGCGGCAUCCAAAGGCGCUGGCGCGGCGAUGGUGGUCACGACAGCCGCGGGCCCCGCCUCCAGAGAGCAGGCUGGUAGGGACGGGGCGGCGUCAGCAGGGCUGGCGGGGGAGGGCGAUGCGCGUCCCGCCCUUUCCUCAAAGGCGCGCGAAAUUAGCCGAGGGGGUUGGUCAAAGGGGGCCUUUGUUGGUGUGGCAGCGGCGAGGGAUGGGAUCGGCUCGAUUUGCCCCGACCGGGGUGCAGGCGGCGACCUCACGCGCUGCUCGGCGGGCCCCAGGCGCAGCAGGCACCGAUCCCGACAGGGCAUAGGAUCAGCUGCUGCAGAAGCGGGCCCGUCCGUAUCUGCUUCGGUCGUGCGCGACGUCGACGCCCCUGCCGCAUCGUGGCCCUGAGCAGCGAACGGGGGAGUGCCAACUGUCCCAAAGCGAACGGCCGAACCGUCCUCCACGCCUGUGCUCGCCACUUUGCGCGAGGGGCCCGCCGACAAAGACGCUUUGGGCGUCACGACGCGCGUCUGCUGGUGUCCUCUUCUGACGCCGUGACGAGGUGUGCUGGGCCCUGCUGACCGGGCCAGGUCAGCAUGCCAGCCCGCUUGGGGCACAGCCCCUGCCGCGACGCGGCCGGGUAUGGCCAGGGAGCCACCACGCCGGCGCCGUCUGCACGGCCGGAGCGGCCACGUGCGUGCGCGAGCGCGUCCACUGCCAUACCAUCGGCCCAGCCGUUCUGCGCCUCCGCCGUACGACGGCGUUUGCGACCACGCCGGCGAGCGCGCUCGAGCCCCGGACCAGGACCGUGACCGUGCCCAUUGCCGGGGCCAUGCCGGCCGUCUGCGCCACCGUCCUCACCGUCUCCGGCGCUGCCCGCAGCGUCCUGGGCGAUAGCCGGAGCAGCCCUGAUCAGCUCCGCCUUAGUGAGAGCAAUGGAGACGGGGAAGGUGAGCGUUCGGAUGUCUGGCGCCUCCGACGGGACACGGCCGGGCAGCUGCUCAAUGAUCUCCUGGGUGGCGGCGCGCCGGAUGUCAGCCGGGUCGUGGGCGCGCCCGGUGACGCGGAAGACGGCCAUGUCCUCGCGGGAACGCGUACGGGGGUGCAGGCGCUCGAUCCAGCAGCUGCCACCCAGCACGUGCUCCGCCGUGGAGAGCAGCCAGGCGUGGGCGGGGAUGCCGCGGAUCUCCAGCUCGACGCGGUACUCGAGCUCGCCAGCGCCGGCGUGGGCAAGCUUGCACCAGGGCCGAAGGGACAGGGCAAAGCGCGGCGAGCUGAGGAAGUGCUCGCCGCGGAACCUUCUCAUGGUUGCGAGGGAGGAGAAGAGAAUCAGGAAGUCCUCCGGGUGAUGCUGAUGGACCGAGAAGUCUCCCUCCUCCAGCUCCAGAGAGGACAUGACGAGCUCGGACACCUCGAUCAGGGACACAGAUGGCCGAGUGCCCGUGACGGUGGCCACCAUUGCGCGGCCGAGCACCAGCUCCGCCUCGUCCAUUUCUUCUGUCUGGGCCAGGAACACGCGGGCGGGGGCAUCAUCGGGUUGGCGAGGCCGCUGCAGGGGAGGGGCUACAGCGGUGGGGAUCGGAGCGGGCAAGCGCGUCGUCGGGGGGGGACGCCCUGGCAGGGGCACCGCGAGGGGGCUUGGGCUGCUGGUCCCCGGCGGCGCGCUGGGAGCGUUGGGGCGCCGCGGGUCGCCGACCAUCGCAGUCGCGGGAGGCGUGGCCAGAGGCGAGACAGCGGCGGCAGCGGAUGUCGUUGGGGCAGUCCCUGACGCAGUGGCGGUGAUCAAGGCACCGGAAGCAGAGGCCCGCGAGCUCCUCCGGGGAGGGGCUGCGGCGGCGCGCAGGCGAAGGCGCGGCCGGCGCAACGCGACGCGGGCGACGGGGCCGUUCUCUGCGACGAGGCUGUUGGAAGCCGUCGGCGUCGAGCACAGGGCCGCCCGAGACGCGAUGAACCUCCGAGCGGGGUCCGAGGCGCUCCUUGGCGGGUGUACGGGCUGCAGGCGCCAGGCGGCCGGAGGCGAGGGCGGUACGAGCGCGCUGAGGACUCGCUCUCCGAGCUCGACCAGCGGUCCCCGUAGGAGACACGCUCGCCGGAGAGGGUCUCGCGGCGGUCGACAGGGUCAGCCCCCACUGGAGUCAUGUCGCGGGAGGGGAGGGCCGCGGGGGAGGUCCGGCCGGCGGGGACGGAGGCGGCGUUGGCGGCGCGGCGCAGCAGUCAGGCUAGCGGGCUAGAGCACUGGACCAUCUGGAAGGGCACUUUCUUCCUUGUUGUCAACCUUGGCUACACUACAUUCAAAGAGCCCAUGUACGGAGUAGCUCCCUACCGAUUUCCUGAAACCCCUGCUGUUCACACAAACUACACCCCAAUAACUAUAUUCUCCUUUUAUGUCUUUCCAAAAUUUUCAAAUUUCCUUGGCUUUUUAGUUCCUUCGUUUGUUUGAAAUAAAACCUAUGUACCUGAAUACUGCUGUGUACCAUCCAUACUUGUUGGAACUAGUUUGACUGAUAACUGGCCAUUAUCCAACUGAAAGGAUGACCUUUUUUUUAAACUAUGUUGGAUUAUUCUAAUUUAGUUUUGCCAAUUCCUUUGACAUUUUUUACCAGGCAUUGAUGUAUCCUCUUUUGGUUGCUUGCAAAUCAAUAAGUAUAUUAAGGCAACGUGCAGCACAGGAGGUCGUUGAUAAGAUCCGCCAGCAUAGUGGAGGCCUUGUUGAUCAGGUUAGCAUCAGUAUAUGUUAAGCUUCUAAGGAAGACACAUAGCACUCCUGACUGUUGAUGUUGGUUGCUCCAGGCGCAGCUUGUUUCAAAGGAACUGAUACGAGUUGCCAUUUUGUGGCAUGAGAUGUGGCAUGAAGCUCUCGAGGAAGCUAGCAGGAUGUAUUUUGGUGAGCACAAUAUUGAUGGAAUGCUUGCGGUACUGGAGCCAUUGCAUGCAAUGCUUGAGAGAGGGCCUGAGACAAUAAAAGAGAACACUUUCAUUCAGGUAGUGUCAUCACCAAACUUACCUCCAGUCCCCACCACACUAUAUCGUUACACAAAUAUAUUUCUCUUGCUAAUGUUUGGGUUACUUUUCAUGAAAAUGCAUUUUGUCCUUAUAUCUUGGUGUGUUUUAUACAGUAAAUCUUUUGGUGCCUUCACCCUAUUGAAUUAUCAACUUGACAUUGAACAUCAAAUUCAGUUUGUUUUGUUAGUGUUUAAUAGCUUAUGCUAUUGAAACUUAUCCAGGCCUAUGGACAUGAAUUACUUGAAGCCCAUGAAUGCUGCUUAAAAUAUCGCGCUACUGGAGAGGAUGCUGAGCUAACUAAGGUAUAUAAGAGUGUCAAUACAAUAAUUUCUUUAUUGUGUUUUCUUGAGUACUGCUGAGGAUGACUUCUGUGUUCUUUAGGCAUGGGAUUUGUAUUACCAUGUUUUCAGAAGAAUCGACAAACAGCUUCCAAGUCUUACAACUCUUGAUUUGCAUGUAAGCAUGUUAUAUGAUUGUUUCCCUGCAGUUUGUUUCCUUUGGCUCCUUGAUUGAACAUUUGAUGUCUCUUUCAGUCUGUUUCACCUGAGCUGCUCAAGUGUCGAAAGUUGGAGCUUGCUGUACCAGGAACUUAUUCUGCAGGUAUUCUACAGGGUUAUAUCAUUUAUUUAAAAUUUUAGUUCUCUACUUUUUACGGAACCUAGUACUCUUUUCUUUUGCCUUACCAAUUCUACAGAACUCCAAAAGAUCUUCACAAUUGUGAGAUGGGUUAUUUGUAGCAUACAUGGGUUAUUUGUACCAAGUACCCCCAACAUUUUAAUUAUCCACUAGUUUGUGUUAUCUCAUGAACAUCCCUUGUCUGUAUAUGAUAGGUCCCUACUGGAACCAUGCAAUAAAAUGUUGAGUGAUGGCAACAAUAAGACAAUUUAUUUAGAUCUUUUGAGAAACGUGCCUUUCAUUUGGUUGUAUAAGAAUGCUGACAUUAAGAAUUAAACUUUGCUUCCAUAUUCACCAGUAUUGAGUUCUGCAAUUGAUUGUUAAAUUGACUUAGAAUUCUGACAUUAAGAAUUAAACUUUGCUUCCAGAUUCACCACUAGUGACUAUUGAGUAUUUUGUUCCGCAAUUGAUUGUUAUUACAUCCAAACAAAGACCGAGGAAACUGACAAUUCAUGGAAGUGAUGGCGAGGAUUAUGCAUUCUUGCUUAAAGGUCAUGAAGAUUUAAGGCAAGAUGAACGCGUUAUGCAGGUUUGUAUCUAAAUUGCAAGUCUUUUUCACGCUGUUUUGACUAUUGUUUUGGUAGCAAUAGAGCACAGAUUAGCAAGCAUAUUUUUAUAUGUUGUGCCCAUGAAUAGUUUUGUCCUCCACUGUCCCCUUACCUGAGGCCAGCUCUUUGUUUUUCCUGCACCCUUGUGGUUUACCAUCUGAACCGUAACCGAUUCCUCAUCAUUAUAUCUUUAUUUGUUUCACCUGAGGCCAUCUUCUUUUCCGUAUCUUGAUCUGAAAUAGAAAGCUUGAAAAACACCACGAGUCCAAAACAAAAACUGUUCCCAUGCCCAUGCUUAGUUAAGUAGCCUGAUCUUACAUAGUGAUGCACAGGAUGAACUCAGACGAACGCUUAGUUAACAAAUUGUUCUUGAGGGCCUGAUAAUACUGAUGUACUGUUGAUAAGCUGGAGCCCCUCUCUGGCAUUCAUGCAAUUAACAUGGGCAUAAUCUGUUAAUCUGGUGGUGUCCUCGCAAGCUGAAAUAGCCUCUAGAUAUUACAAGCUACCAACAAAAAAUAUGUAUCUAAAUAUCUUUCCUCUAUACUUAGCUUUUUGGUCUGGUGAAUACUCUCCUGGAGAACUCAAGGAAAACAUCAGAGAAAGAUUUGUCGAUCCAAAGAUAUGCUGUUAUUCCCUUGUCUCCUAACAGUGGAUUAAUUGGAUGGGUACCUAAUUGUGACACGCUUCAUGCUCUGAUCCGUGAAUACAGAGAUGCAAGGAAGGUUAGUCUGCCUCAAUAAUUUGUUUCCUUCUGAAAGAAGAUAAACAUGUUCUGCUUGAUGUCAUUUCUCAAUUAAUUCCCCUCUUCUUUGUUCAGAUUUUCUUAAAUCAAGAGCACAGACUUAUGUUGGCGUUUGCACCUGAUUAUGACCACUUACCCCUCAUCGCGAAGGUGGAAGUAUUUCAGCAUGCUCUGCAGAAUACCGAAGGAAAUGACCUUGCAAAGGUACUAUGCUGUCUCUAGUCACUGCACUAUGAAAAAAGCUCGCUGAUUUUGAUGCUUUCUGGUGACAAUAUUUAAUCUACCUCAACAAAAUUGUGAUAGGUUCUCUGGCUGAAAAGUCGAACAUCCGAAGUAUGGCUUGAGCGGCGUACAAAUUAUACAAGAAGCCUGGCUGUUAUGAGCAUGGUAUGAAUUACUGCUAUGAUAUGUGUUUUCGUAUGAAAUAUUCCUUUUGACUUAAGAUGGUGAAAAUGUAAUUUUGCAGGCUGGCUAUUUGCUUGGGUUAGGAGAUCGGCAUCCAAGCAAUCUUAUGUUGGAUCGUUUUAGGUAAUUUCUGCGAAGCUUGAAGUAACCAUAUGUAAUGUUGUGAAUUUGUUCUGUUGUCUAGAGGCCUAAUAGUAAUUUUUUGCUUCAGUGGGAAAAUUUUGCACAUUGACUUUGGAGAUUGUUUUGAGGCAUCAAUGAAUCGAGAAAAGUUCCCUGAAAAAGUAAGUAGGCCGUGUUGUGGGCUUUAUUCCUUGCCAAUCACCUGAUAGGUUGAUGCUAUCGUUUAGUUGAAUCUUGUCUCGUAUUGUAACUGUUAUUGAAUGUGUCAUUUUAACUUUUUUUACUACACUUCCGCAUUUUGUAUGCAUGGUGUAGGUACCAUUCCGUUUGACUAGAAUGCUCGUUAAAGCUAUGGAAGUUAGUGGUAUCGAGGGUACUUUCAGAACAACUUGUGAAAAUGUGAUGCAAGUCCUUCGAACAAACAAGGACAGCGUCAUGGCUAUGAUGGAGGUAAGUAAUACACAUUCUAUAGCCUGUAGCACCUUGCCUGGCCAAUAUUAUAUACUCCCCCUGUCCCAAAAUAUAGUGCUUAUUGUAUUUUUUUAAAGUCAAAUUUUGACCCAGUAUAUAAAGAAUGCCAAAUCAAUACCCUUGGAUUCAUCAUGAAAUAUAUUUUCAUAUGAUGUAUAUUUGGUAUUAUACAUAUAGAUAUUUUUUUUCUAUAAAAUAGGUCAAAAGUUUGUAAAGCUUGACUUUUACGAUACCAACUCGCACUAUAUUAUGAGAUGGAGUGAGUAUUUAAAUAUUGAAAUAAAAAGAAUCUGCUUUUUUAGACCCUGCCUCGAGUCCACAUUUCGUCCUAACACUUUAAACUGUUUGUUUUUUCCUUCCCUGCGAGUAUACAUGAUCAGUCCCUGCUUUUUUAGGCCCUAAGCUUGCCUCAAGUCUGUUAAGCUUCAUGCACAGCCAACGCAACCAAAAGUCCGAACUGAUAGAAAGGGCUAGGCAAUCCACAUAUAGUGUAACACCCCCUCUCAUGUGUGACGGGGAAGACAAGUCAACACGUGCAACCGGAAAAAAGCGACGGCGCGCGAAGCUCACGUAUGACUCAAGAGGCCUCUACAUGGACACAAAGGGGGGCUACCAGCGAUUUUUGAUAAAUUGCGAAAGCCAGGACUUGAACUCAAGACCUUAGCUCCGAUACCAUGUUAAGCUUCAUGCACUAGCCAACGCAACCAAAAGUCCGAACUGAUAGAAAGGGCUAGUCAAUCCACAUAUAGUGUAACAGAGUCCACAUUUCGUCCUAACACUUUAAACUGCUUGUUUUUCCUUCCCCGCGAGUAUAGCAUGAUGAGCCCAGGUUGCCCUGAGCUUUUAAACAGUCCACUUUACACCCUUAUCUGAUUUUAGGGCAUCUCCAAC